rnacentral:rRNA from 1 species
UCCAAUGAGGCAGCAGGCGCGUAAAUUACUCUAUGCCAACGCGGCGAAGUAGUGACGAAAAAUAGGACUGGGUAGCGCUUUGCGUUAUCUUUGUCCAAUGAGAGCAAUGUAAAAGCCUCAUCGAGGAUCCAUUGGAGGGCAAGUCUGGUGCCAGCAGCCGCGGUAAUUCCAGCUCCAAUAGCGUACACUAAAGUUGUUGCAGUUAAAAAGCUCGUAGUCUAAUGUAUGGGAGUUGCGGGGUGGGUGUUUGGUUGGUUUUGCCGACUAAACAAUACUCGCUCCGCUUCCCGCUUGUUUUGUUCUCUUUUCUAAAAGGAAAAUGCUUCGCUGAAAGUAAAACACCUCCCUCAACAGCGAGGUUUUCUUGAUAUGAAUUAUGAUGGGAUGAUGAGAGCUGCUCCGUCCGUUUUUUGUUGGUUUUAGUGGUCUGAGAAUGAUGAAGAGGGACUGUUGGUGGUAUUCGUAUUUACAUGUAAGAGGUGGAAUUCUAGGAUUUAGAAAAGACGAACUGCUGCGAAAGCAUCUACCAAAGAUGUUUUCAUUGAUCAAGAACAAUGGGGUGAGGAUCGAAGAUGAUUAGAUAC